UUUUGUUCUGUGCUGAAGUUCCAUUUCAACGAGCUAUAACUAGGGUAACGAGCUAUUCUAGAACCUCACACAACCCCAACUUUACUAUUAAGUGUUUUCCUCUUCUCCAUAGUAUUAGCUCUGCAAAUCAACAUUUCCCUUAAAUUCAAUCAAUCUCACUUUUCCUUCUUCUUUAGGUACUUUUCUUCGUAUGAAUAUUAAUUAAGAAAUCUAGAAUUUUUUGCAUCAACAAUCUAUUAGAUCUCGUAGUUUUCUAUUUUUUUUAAAGGCUUUAGGUUUCAUAUCCCUGUGCUUUAAUUUGUGUUUGUAAUUGUUUUCUACUUUAUACGAAAUUUGAGAUCUAUGUAUUUGGAUGAAAAUAAGGUGUUUAUAUUUGGGUUAGGGCUUGGAUUUGAAGAUAUAUGGGCUUCAUUAUUGCGUCGAAGCUCUUAAUGAAGAAGUUUAAGGAUCUGUAGGAUUUUCUCACAUCACGCAAUGCUGGUAUGUUGGCUUCAUAUCCUAUUUUGUUUGUCACUUCUCAUUAUUUUAUGGUUCUUGAGCUUAUGUGCUAGUUUUGUUACCUUAAAGAUCAAAAAUUAGAUCCCCUUAUCGAACUGUUGAUGUUUCUGUGGCUUUGUGAGGCUACUGCUGCUAAGUGUAGAGAUUGUAGCAGAAGAACAAGUCUGAUUAAGUAGUUUUAAUCUGUUUCAAUACUAGUUGAGUUACAUGAUUUAAAUGUUUGUUUCUAUAACAUUAUCACAGUGUUUCAUAUUCUCUUGUUGUCGAAGUGUGAUAAAAGGAAAGCCCCAAUUUUUGAAUUCCUAAUGUCGUACUUGUCAAUCUAUGAAUUUUGUUUCUUCAAAAAAAAAAGGGAAAUGCUUUUGAUUUUUUGAAUUUAUUUUGAUUAAUGUUAACUCGCCUAAAAUAGAAUAUUGUGUGUCGAGUCUUAUUUUUCACUAUAAAUACGAUACCUCUUAUCAUAUAAAGGGACAAACUUUGAAGUUCGAUAAUCUUUCAUUCACAUUGCUUUAGAAAUGCUUCUUUACAAUUUUGAUUCCUUUCUUUUGUCGGCUACAAGCCUAGAUUAUUUACUGUGAAACUGCUUCUAUUUUAGUUGUUAGUGCUAUGCCGAAGUAUUUUAAAUUCAAAGGUGAUAGUUCUUUGUAGAUUUAAGUUUCUAUCUAAGUCUCUAUAUGUUAGUAAACCUGAUAGUUCUUUGCAGCUUAAGUUACUGCCUUAGUCUAUAUAUGUUCGAAUGGCUUAAGCAUUUUCUGAAAUGCAUUCAGGUAUUUUCUAUACUUCAUGUGUGCCUAGUCUUUUGUGUAAUGGAUGUAAUAUGAGUCUCUGUUAGGCUGAUAUGGAUACUAAUCUUGUUGAGGGUCUAUUGGAAAUAUCCUCUCUACCAUUGAAGUUGGGGCAAGGUUGGCAUACACUCAUUUUAGCAGUUUGUCGAGUUCUAUUCUGCCCGAAUUCCUUAGAAGAUGAAUGCAUAUUGAAUUACUUGUCGAGCUUCAAUAUUUGCCUCUUUAUAGCUUUAUGCUUUGCUUGAAGAUGGAUGUGCAUCAUAACUGUUUGAAGCUUGGUACUAGUUAGUUUUCACCUAUGUGAGGAAGAUUUUGUCAAUUAAAGGUUCAACGAUCAAAGCUCUGCAAUGGUUUUACAAAUUUAAUAAACGGAUAGAUGUGAGGAAGUUUAUAAUGCAGUGAAGGACUUUCUAGACUGUUAAUUUUUCUUAUGUUAGAUUAUCUUAUCAGAAAUUUAGACAAAUGAUUUUGCUAGAGGUUUCCGUAGGAAAACUUUCAAGUUCCUAGAUGAUGUUUCCGUAUAAUUUUUUCUCCAACUAACUUUUUUCACAAGAACAGUAUUAGUUAUGCCUUAAUGUCAAACUAGUUAGAUUGGAGUAUGAAAUUUCAAUUUCCAUUCUGUUGUAUGCAUGUAGCUAGGUCCCUUUUUAAAAUAAUUUUACCACCAGAACACUGGAAUUAGGUACUAGGUUAACUGUUAAUAAAAAAUUCAUUAAAGGUUCAGGAUUAAGACAAUACGAAUCCAAGUUAACUAUGUCAGCUUUAGAAAUUUGUAAGACAUAUCUAAAUUGUGAAAUAAAGGUCAAGGGUCAAAUACUUGGUACUGCAGAUGACCUGUUUGUGCAACUACUCAAUGACAAUACUACUAAAAAGUAAAUUUACCUUAUUAAAAAAAGUUACUAGUAGAAAGGAACAUGGUUGUUGUUUUUUAUUGCAUUUAAGUAUGUAUUUACAUUUUACGUAGCUAUGACAUGGCAACAUCUUAUACCAAACAAUGUAGCUUCAACAUGAACUCCAAAGUCCAUGCACUUCUACUAAAGAAGUGGCCAAGCUCAUUUUCCAGAUCUACUCUACUUUUGGAAUAAAUAGAUGUGUUAACAUUUCCUCUAGGGAUUUACUCAUUAUCAAAAGAAAUAUUGAUAUAAUUGGGAAUUCCUUUGUCUUGUGUAUUAUUAACAAAGUUAUGAUGAAACCUAUAAAAAAAAUAUGCAUGAACUCCUUUGUCAAAAUAAUGUGGUUCAUGAUGUGAUUCUCUAUCAAAAAUAACCUCUUUACUUUUCAAGUAGGAGUAUGGACUGCAUAAACACAAUCCUCCCCAAACCUCACUUGUGGUAUUAAUAACAUUGGGUAUGUUGUUUGUUAAUGAAUUGAGUUUUAUUUAAGUUCUCAUGUUUGGGUAUUGGACUUUAGUUAUUUAGUUGCUCCACUUUGAUCCUCCUGCUAAAUACAUUUGUUAAUUUUUAUGAAUUGAGCUUAGUAUGGUAGGAUAAAACUAUGUUGUGCACAUUUCAUCGGCCUUAGUCAUGUCCCUUUGCUUUCUUAAAUGUUUUGCAAUCUUCUAUUUCAAGGUUACCUCUUUUAUUUUAGUAUUUAUUAUAAGAAUUGUCAAAGUAAAUCCUAUUCGUUUACUCGUAAUUACAGGAACAAGAUUGUAGAACACAAAUAGUAUUGAAGAAGGAUAAGUUUGAAGACCUUCACUGUUUUUUUAUUACAUAUGUACAAUGACAUUGAAUAAUAUACUAUUGUGUAGUACAUUUAAUUGACAUUUUUUUUUAUCAUGAAAGUAUUCGAAUUAUUCAACUUGAGAAUUAUUUGUGUUUAUUAAAUAUAUAUUGGAUGCUUUUAAAUAUUUGUAAGCAAUUUAUUGAAAUGAACAUGUAUAUUAAUAUCAGAAUUUAGGUGGCC
rnacentral:lncRNA from 1 species